AACAUUUCAUACGAAGCUCGUCACAAAGGAAGUUCAUUAGAAUAUCUCAUUGAAGAUGUAACAUGAUACACCACAAGGGAUUUUCCUUCUGAGUUCAUUACAACUAUCGUUCCUUCAGAGUUUGCCGUUAAUGUCAUUUCUUUCCCUCAGAGUCCGCUACAGAGGCGUUUCCUUCAGACGGUUGCCACAAAAGUCAUUCUUUAGAGUGCGUCACAAAGGAUUUCCCUUCAUAGAUCGCCACAAAGAUUUUUUUUCUAGCGUGUUUACGAUAGAGAUUCACCUAGACUUACAUUUCGUGAGCUUUUCCCUUAUCGUCCUAGGUCACAUAGAGAACCCCUUUUGAGCAAUCACCUUUCUUUAGUUCUUUUCCAUAUGAUGUCAUAGCCCAACUAUGGUCUUACACAAUAUGGUGUCAUGGCCAUGGACUUUUCCUUCUAGAGAUUCACAUCAAAUAUCUUGUUUUUAGUCCCGAUGGACCCCUUUAGACUCUACCGCAAUGAACAGACACAAACUCUUCAUACACUGACAUCAUUCAAGACUUAACACUUGAUUCAUAUAGACACCCAAGCUAUUUCUAGACAUGCCCAUACAACUAUACUUUAACUUCAGGAUUCCUAUCACUUACUUAAACUUGUCAGGUUUCAUACAAACUACACAUGCAAAGUCCAUCAAACAUUUAUGCAAUAGUAUAAUCAUCAUGCCAUACUUUUUUAGAUUUGAUCUCAUAGAUAAAUUAACUUUCACAGAAGCUCUCACAUGAACAAUAUGCAAACAAGAGUUAGCUUAGAGACUCACCUGACAACCACGGAUAGUAGCUUGAACCUUAGAUCUAGCAUCUAACAAGGAUUGCAACAACCACUGCCUUAUAAAAUAGAAAAUCACUAUUAGAACUCAUUUCAAAUAACUUGGUUAUCAUCUCUAACCUAGAUAACCCACAUAAAAAACCUUACUUUUUCAUCUUACGGUUCAUACAUUUUUAAAAGCCUAAUCUUUCAUAACAUACGAAGCCAUAAAACUUACUUUGACAUGGAGAAUCAUCCAUAUAAUUCAAGAUUUUAUCUUCAACUCAAAGAAAUACUUUUUUUCUUCUUAAUCGCCAGAUAA
rnacentral:lncRNA from 1 species